rnacentral:rRNA from 1 species
UACGUAGGGGCCAAGCGUUGUCUGGAUUUAUUGGGCGUAAAGAGCUCGUAGGUGGUUUGUCGCGUUGUUCGUGAAAACCGGGGGCUUAACCCUCGGCGUGCGGGCGAUACGGGCAGACUUGAGUACUGCAGGGGAGACUGGAAUUCCUGGUGUAGCGGUGGAAUGCGCAGAUAUCAGGAGGAACACCGGUGGCGAAGGCGGGUCUCUGGGCAGUAACUGACGCUGAGGAGCGAAAGCGUGGGGAGCGAACAGG